AGUGAACGCUGGCGGUAGGCCUAACACAUGCAAGUCGAACGGCAGCACAGUAAGAGCUUGCUCUUACGGGUGGCGAGUGGCGGACGGGUGAGGAAUACAUCGGAAUCUACUAUUUCGUGGGGGAUAACGUAGGGAAACUUACGCUAAUACCGCAUACGACCUACGGGUGAAAGCAGGGGAUCUUCGGACCUUGCGCGAUUGAAUGAGCCGAUGUCGGAUUAGCUAGUUGGCGGGGUAAAGGCCCACCAAGGCGACGAUCCGUAGCUGGUCUGAGAGGAUGAUCAGCCACACUGGAACUGAGACACGGUCCAGACUCCUACGGGAGGCAGCAGUGGGGAAUAUUGGACAAUGGGCGCAAGCCUGAUCCAGCCAUACCGCGUGGGUGAAGAAGGCCUUCGGGUUGUAAAGCCCUUUUGUUGGGAAAGAAAAGCAGCAGGUUAAUACCCCGCUGUUCUGACGGUACCCAAAGAAUAAGCACCGGCUAACUUCGU
rnacentral:rRNA from 1 species